rnacentral:rRNA from 1 species
GCAGCCGCCGCGGGAAUACGGAGGGUGCAAGCGUUAAUCGGAAUUACUGGGCGUAAAGCGUGCGUAGGCGGUGAGUUAAGUCUGCUGUGAAAUCCCCGGGCGCAACCUGGGAAUGGCAGUGGAUACUGGCUCGCUAGAGUGUGUCAGAGGAUGGUGGAAUUCCCGGUGUAGCGGUGAAAUGCGUAGAGAUCGGGAGGAACAUCAGUGGCGAAGGCGGCCAUCUGGGACAACACUGACGCUGAGGCACGAAAGCGUGGGGAGCAAACAGGAUUAGAUACCCGGGUAGUCCCUGUCUCUUAUAC